UGGUCCUACGGGGGGCAGCAGUGGGGAAUAUUGGACAAUGGGGGAAACCCUGAUCCAGCGACGCCGCGUGAGUGAAGAAGUAUUUCGGUAUGUAAAGCUCUAUCAGCAGGGAAGAAAGAAAUGACGGUACCUGACUAAGAAGCCCCGGCUAACUACGUGCCAGCAGCCGCGGUAAUACGUAGGGGGCAAGCGUUAUCCGGAUUUACUGGGUGUAAAGGGAGCGUAGGCGGUGCAGCAAGUCAGAAGUGAAAGCCCGGGGCUCAACUCCGGGACUGCUUUUGAAACUGUUGAACUAGAUUGCAGGG
rnacentral:rRNA from 1 species